rnacentral:rRNA from 1 species
UACGGAGGGUGCAAGCGUUGUUCGGAAUUACUGGGCGUAAAGAGCAUGUAGGCGGUUUGGUAAGUUGGAAGUGAAAUCCCGAGGCUCAACCUCGGAACUGCUUUCAAAACUACCUCACUAGAGUAUGGUAGGGGACAGUGGAAUUCUUAGUGUAGGGGUGAAAUCCGUAGAUAUUAAGAGGAACACCAGAGGCGAAGGCGACUGUCUGGGCCACUACUGACGCUAAGAUGCGAAAGCGUGGGGAGCGAACGGG